rnacentral:rRNA from 1 species
GAUGAACGCUGGCGGCGUGCCUAAUACAUGCAAGUCGAGCGAACAGACGAGGAGCUUGCUCCUCUGACGUUAGCGGCGGACGGGUGAGUAACACGUGGAUAACCUACCUAUAAGACUGGGAUAACUUCGGGAAACCGGAGCUAAUACCGGAUAACAUGUUGAACCGCAUGGUUCAACAGUGAAAGACGGUCUUGCUGUCACUUAUAGCUGGAUCCGCGCCGCAUUAGCUAGUUGGUAAGGUAACGGCUUACCAAGGCAACGAUGCGUAGCCGACCUGGGAGGGGGAUCGGCCACACGGGAGGUGAGACACGGUCCUGACUCCUACGGGAGGCAGCAGUAGGGAAUGUGCCGCAGUGGUCGAAAGCCUUACGGAGCAACGCCGCGUGUGAGAUGAAGGUCUUCGGAUCGUAAAACUCUGUUAUUAGGGAAGAACAAAUGUGUAAGUAACUAUGCACGUCUUGACGGUACCUAAUCAGAAAGCCACGGCUAACUACGUG